rnacentral:rRNA from 1 species
GGACUACCGGGGUAUCUAAUCCUGUUUGCUCCCCACGCUUUCGUGUCUCAGCGUCAGUACUCGUCCAGUUGGCCGCCUUCGCCGCCGGUGUUCCUCUCGAUAUCUACGAAUUUCACCUCUACACCGAGAAUUCCGCCAACCUCUCCGGUACUCAAGCUGCGCAGUAUCGGGUGCACUUCCCGGGUUGAGCCCGGGGAUUUCACAUCCGACUUGCGUAGCCGCCUACACACGCUUUACGCCCAGUAAUUCCGAACAACGUUUGCACCCUCUGUCUUACCGCGGCUGCUGGCAC